CCUACGGGAGGCAGCAGUGAGGAAUAUUGGUCAAUGGGCGAGAGCCUGAACCAGCCAAGUCGCGUGAGGGAGUACUGCCCUAUGGGUUGUAAACCUCUUUUGUCGGGGAGCAAAAGCCGGACGUGUCCGGCUGUGAGAGUACCCGAAGAAAAAGUAUCGGCUAACUCCGUGCCAGCAGCCGCGGUAAUACGGAGGAUGCGAGCGUUAUCCGGAUUUAUUGGGUUUAAAGGGUGCGCAGGCGGAUUUUUAAGUCAGCGGUAAAAUCGUGGGGCUCAACCCCAUCCAGCCGUUGAAACUGGGGAUCUAGAGUGUGCGAGAGGUAUGCGGAAUGCGUGGUGUAGCGGUGAAAUGCAUAGAUAUCACGCAGAACCCCGAUUGCGAAGGCAGCAUACCGGUGCACAACUGACGCUCAGGCACGAAAGCGUGGGUAUCGAACAGGAUUAGAUACCCGGGUAGUC
rnacentral:rRNA from 1 species